GGCUGCUUUCCAUGUUCCCCUGUGAGCUCUGCCUGCUGUCUCCUGUCUGUGUCCGUAACUCCCGUCGCUGUCCCGCUUGGAGAAGUUUCCUGGGCUGGGUCUGGCUCUGUGUUGCCUGGCUGUGGGUGCACCCACAGAGUCCCUGUCCCAUCAUGUGCCUGAUGUCUGUCCUGCUCUUGCCCAGACUGUGCCCUGUCCAAGCCUAAUCUGCUACUCUGGCUGGAAAGAGAAGAGCUGAGCACGCUGACGGAGUCGGAGCCAGAGGCAGUGGAUGUGUCCCCAGAACCGGCUGUAGAGCUGGCCCGCCCGAGCUGCUCCAGAGGUGAUGGAGUGCUGGAGGUAAAGGCAGCACAGCCUGGUGAUGGGAGCUGCAGGGAGCCAGAGGAGAGCGGGAACCUGGCAGAGGAAAGUGGAAAACUGGCAGAGGAAGGUGGGAACCCAUCAGAGCAAAGUGGGAAGUCAGCAGAGGAAGGUGGGAAGCCAGCAGAGGAAAGUGGGAGCCCAGCAGUCCCGGAGGACUGCAGCACACCCCCCAUCCCUCUGGAAGCUGCUGUCCCAGGGGAUCUCAGC